GCUGGGUGUGGUGGCAGGCACCUGUAAUCCCAGCUACUCAGGAGGCUGAGGCAGAAGAAUCACUUGAACCCAGGAGGAGGAGGUUGCAGUGAGCCAAGAUUGCAGCACUGCACUCCAGCCUGGGUGACAGAGUGAGAUUCUGUCUCAA
rnacentral:SRP_RNA from 1 species